rnacentral:rRNA from 1 species
UACGGGGGGGGCAAGCGUUGUUCGGAAUUACUGGGCGUAAAGGGCUUGUAGGUGGCCAACUAAGUCAGACGUGAAAUCCCUCGGCUUAACCGGGGAACUGCGUCUGAUACUGGAUGGCUUGAGUGUGGGAGAGGGAUGCGGAAUUCCAGGUGUAGCGGUGAAAUGCGUAGAUAUCUGGAGGAACACCGGUGGCGAAGGCGGCAUCCUGGACCGACACUGACACUGAGGAGCGAAAGCCAGGGGAGCAAACGGG